rnacentral:rRNA from 1 species
UACAGAGGUCUCAAGCGUUGUUCGGAUUCAUUGGGCGUAAAGGGUGCGUAGGCGGACAGGUAAGUCAGUGGUGAAAUCUCCGAGCUUAACUCGGAAACUGCCUUUGAUACUCUCUGUCUUGAAUAUGGUGGAGGUAAGCGGAAUAUGUCAUGUAGCGGUGAAAUGCUUAGAGAUGACAUAGAACACCUAUUGCGAAGGCAGCUUACUACGCCUAUAUUGACGCUGAGGCACGAAAGCGUGGGGAUCAAACAGG